UGACAAGCCUGACGAGAGCGU
rnacentral:miRNA from 1 species